UACGUAGGGUGCAAGCGUUAAUCGGAAUUACUGGGCGUAAAGCGUGCGCAGGCGGUUGUGUAAGUCAGAUGUGAAAUCCCCGGGCUCAACCUGGGAACUGCAUUUGUGACUGCAAGGCUAGAGUACGGUAGAGGGGGAUGGAAUUCCGCGUGUAGCAGUGAAAUGCGUAGAUAUUGGGAGGAACACCAGUGGCGAAGGCGGCUCGCUGGACCGGUUCUGACGCUGAGGCGCGAAAGCGUGGGGAGCAAACGGG
rnacentral:rRNA from 1 species